rnacentral:tRNA from 1 species
AAGUAAAAUCUGGGAUAAAGCAGGGCUGCUAACUUUGUUUUGAUUAGUUCGAUUCUGUUCUUUGCUUU